UACGGAGGGUGCAAGCGUUAUCCGGAUUUAUUGGGCGUAAAGAGCGUGUAGGCGGCCAGACAAGUCUGCUGUGAAAACUCGAGGCUCAACCUCGAGCUGUCGGUGGAAACUGUCUGGCUAGAGUCCGGAAGAGGAGAGUGGAAUUCCUGGUGUAGCGGUGAAAUGCGCAGAUAUCAGGAAGAACACCUAUGGCGAAGGCAGCUCUCUGGGACGGUACUGACGCUGAGACGCGAAAGCGUGGGGAGCGAACAGG
rnacentral:rRNA from 1 species